rnacentral:rRNA from 1 species
AUGGUUACAAUCGUUGGUACACGGGAACAGUUUGUUCAACCACAGUCAUUCCUCCGUGCUACAAUGCUGCUCAAGUCCCCAACAAGGCAACUUUCCUUCUGCUUUGCGCCACAAGGGGAUUGCGAUCAAUACUGUGCUUUAAUCCCUGGCUUGCCAGAAGACCUGGCAAAGAUAUGUCUUGCCCUUGUUCCUCGAACUCAUUUCCCUGUCAUGGGUGGAGUAUCCAAGAGGUGGAUGUCAUUCCUAGAGAGCAAAGAAUUAAUUGCUGUAAGGAAAGAGGUUCGGAAGCUUGACGAGUGUGUGUACGUCCUGACCGCUGAUUCUCGAGCAAAGACUUCUCAUUGGGAGAUUUUGGGAUGUCAGGGGCAAAAGAACACCCCUCUUCCGCCUAUGCCUGGACCAACCAAAGCUGGGUUUGGUGUGGUUGUCCUUGAUGGGAAGCUCAUCGUCAUUGCUGGCUAUGCUGCUGACCAUGGCAAGGAAUGUGUUUCUGAUGAGGUUUACCAGUAUGAUUGUUUCCUCAACAGGUGGACCGCCCUUUCUAAGAUGAAUGUCGCUCGUUGCGACUUCGCGUGUGCAGAGGUCAACGGUGUGAUAUAUGUCACUGGUGGAUUUGGUCCCAGUGGUGAUAGUUUAUCAAGUGUCGAAGUUUAUGACCCAGAACAAAAUAAAUGGACGUUGAUCGGGGGCCUUCGCAGGCCAAGAUGGGGUUGCUUUGGGUGUAGCUUUGAAGGCAAGAUGUACGUCAUGGGUGGCCGUUCGAGCUUCACAAUUGGUAACUCCCGUUUCAUUGACGUGUACGAUACAAAUAGCCAUGCCUGGGGUGAAUUUAGGAAUGGCUGUGUGAUGGUCACGGCUCAUGCUGUUCUUGGUGAGAAGCUCUUCUGCAUCGAGUGGAAGAACCAGAGGUCUCUGGCGAUUUUCGACCCAGCAGACAAUUCCUGGCAGAAGGUCCCAGUGCCGCUUACUGGUAGUUCCAGCACGCGUUUUUCUCUCGGGACACAUGAUGGGAAGCUGCUGCUCUUCUCACUGGAGGAAGAACCCGGGUAUCAGACGCUGAUGUAUGAUCCUGCCGCGCCAAAAGGCUCUGAAUGGUGCACGUCUAAGCUCAGGCCAUCGGGAUUAUGCUUGUGCACUGUGACCAUCAAAGCCUGA